rnacentral:tRNA from 1 species
AGACCAAUAGGUUAUUUAAACCUUCGGCCUUCAAAGCCGAAAAUGCUCUGCUUGGUUUG